UCUCUCAGGCUGACGUAACCCCGUCCUGGACCCGGAGGAAGCGUGAUUCGCCGCCUCCAUUGUUAGAAAGUUCUCUCAGGCUGACGUAACCCUAUCCUGGACCUGGAGGAAGCGUGAUUCACCGCCUCCAUUGUUUGAAAGCUCUCUCAGGCUGGCGUCACCUGUCCAGGACCUGAAGGAAGCGUGAUUCCCCACCUCCAUUGUUAGAAAUCUCUCGCAGGCUGGCGUCACCUGUCCUGGAGAAAGCGUGAUUCGCCGCCUCCAUUGUUAGAAAUCUCUCUCAGGCUGACUUACCCCUGUCCUGGUCCUGGAGGAAGCCUGAUUCGCAGCCUGGAUUGUUGGAAAGCUCUCGCAGGCUGACGUAACCGUGUCCUGGACCUGGAGGAAGCGUGAUUCGCUGCCUCCAUUGUUAGAAAGCUCUCUCAGUCUGACGUAACCCUGUUCUGGACCUGAAGGAAGCCUGAUUCGCCGCCUGGAUUGUUGGAAAGCUGUCUCAGGCUGGCGUCACCCUGUCCCGGAGGAAGCGUGAUUCGCCGCCUCCACUGUUAGAAAGCUCUCUCAGGCUGACAUCACCCUGCCCUGGACCUGGAGGAAGCCUGAUUCGCCGCCUCGAUUGUUAGAAUUCUGCCUCAGGCUGAGUUCUUGGACAUUGGAGAACAAGGCUCCAGGAGGACCUGGAUGCACUGCACCCCUGCUGUUCUCUGAAGAUGUGUCAGCCUGAGCACAGUGACUCUCACUCUUCAUUACUGGUGUCUAGGAUCUAGCACUGUUCCUAGCACUGCAGCGAGCCGCUUCACUGUAAUGUCUCCUGAUAUCCAGGGCAAAUGAAGGACGGGAAAGCCCCCAAGCCUUGUGGUCUGUGUGGAGGCUGCCUCAGGUGUGCAGAAGAUACAAGUAAAUGCUGUGGCAGGUGCAAGCUCCCCGCCAGGUCUACUGUGGCAUAAACAGCAGCAAGGUUCUCAAGAAAGGAAUUCUACAAGGAUGGAGAAAAAUACUGUCUAACACACUUAAGACUUUAGUUCAAAGUGCUCUCACAUAUUAGAGUUCCUGUUGGAGAUCUCUAGUCUUCUUGGUUGAGAAUAGUUUGGUGGUGGGAUUGAUGCCAGGCCAGUCACUGAGCCGGGUUGUGGAGGGAGAUUUGUUCCUGUGGGAUCGGCCCCCGUGUGAAUCUGUUUGGUGCUGGAGGCCCGUGCUUGGUGGGAUAACGAGAUUCCAUUUUUCUCUUUCAAGCUACCCUUAGCUUUUAAGCCACUGCCUUUCCCCAUCAACAUCUUGGGCUAAAAUGGAAUUUAUUAUUGAAAUGUUGGUAGGUAAACACGCAUAUGUUGUUCUUAAAUCAGUGACUUUCUUCAUAAUGGUUUCCAUGUACGCAAUAAUCUUUUCCUAUAAACUACAUUUAUCCAAAAGACACACACAGGUUUUUCUGUAAACAGAAAUUGGGGCUGAGGUUUUGGAAAAAAAAAGAGAUGGCCCUUCAUUUUUCUUUCAUUUCAUGCUUCCAAAAGGACAAUCAUAUCUCCUUAUGUCUGCCUCAUAGCAUCCUGUAUUAUUAACAUCUGUCAGAAGUCACAGCUGUCUGUGUUCCAUGCCUUGUCCUUUCAUCUCUUCCGCAUCUGCUGGAUUCAGCCCACCGUUUAUAGGUGCGUUCAGUUGCCCCACCGUAACAAUACAGAAACAACAAAAUCACUGUCAUCUUUCUUAGUCGUGCACCAUUCUUUCUAGUUAGCAUUUUAUUCCUCAGUUUUAAAAUCCAGAUUUAUUUAAAUAAUAGCCAAUUGCCAUUGUCUCUAUUUCCUCAUCGUCCCCUAAUGUAUCAACACACUGAAAUCAAGUUUGUUCACUUUAACACACCGAUCAGAUUUCCUAAUGAAUACCCCCAAGACUUCUUAAUACAAAAUCCAGUGGAAUGCAUUGGAUGUUCUUUGCAUACCAUCUUGUUGGAGCAUACAACUUUGUAAAGCAUCUUUUCUUGAACAUUUGUACUUCCUUGCUUUCAAAGAUAUAAUUCUACUACUUUUGCUACAAUUUCUCUGGGUAUUAUUUUCCUGCCUUUUUAAGUUUCAUUGAUUUGUAGCAAUGGCACAAACAUAAAGUAUAUACCUUUAUGAGUUUCUACAUAUGUAUUCACCAUAAAUCCAGAAAAUUAACAUAUUCACCACCCCAAAAUCGUUUUCUCAUACCCAUCUUCCUUCCUCUUCAACCACAAUCUUAUUUUCAUCAGUAAAGAUGUCUUUGCAUUUUCUAAAUGUGAUAUAAUUGCAAUUAUACAGUAAGGCACUCUUUUGUGUCUAGCUUCUACACUGACUCUAUUUACCUUGGGAUUUAUUUAUGUUGUUGCAGAUAUCAGUAGUUUGCUCCUUUUUAUUGUUGAAUAGUGUUCUAUUGCAUGGAUAUGUUAUGAAAUUUUAAUCCACUUACUUGUUGAUAGAUCUUUGGGUCGUUUCCUGGACAAUAACUUUUAAGGCUGUCCUUAAUCAUUGAUCUCGUCUUUGACAAUUUCCCUUAUUAUUCCUCUUCGUUGACAUGGCUCUGCUUGGUUAAGUGAUCCUACACUGUAACCCACACUUUUUAAUUUGCACAACUGCAGCUUUUCUGGACUGGGAAUUUCUUUGGUUUAAAAACAAAUUGUGUAGUACCAGGCUAAGCUGACACUGUCUGCUCCAAAAAGUGGAUGUCCAGUAAACGUUUUCUGAAUGAAUGGAUUCCCAGAUUGUUGGACUGCCAGAAAGAUGACUAUACUCACAUGUAAACUACAAAAUGAGUAAUGGGCUGGCUGCUGACUGAAGCCAUAUAGGGUUUCCCUGAUGGAUUUUUGUACUGUCUAAUUUAAUGUUUCUGGAUCUGAAAAAGGAUCCCUAGAAGAGAAAAGUAAAUAAUUAUUUGAUGUUUUUGAAAUUUUAGAAGCCUCAAGGGCAUGUCUCUUUUUUAAAAUAGUUUGGAAUGCCUUGUCUUCAACAGACAAGGAUCUUGCUGGAUCUAGCAGAGCUGACGCUCCACCAGGCUAUAGCUGAGGUACCCCUGCCAACCCUGCAUCAGCAUCUCAUCCUCUAGGGAUGCUGUGGAACCUCUUACACUAUUCCUGAGUCACCAACCUAUUCAGGUUUACUAUUUUUCAGUCACUUUGUGGGUGGUCAUCCGUGGAAAUCCUGCUCUCCAAUUCAGAGGAAAAGAAAAAAAUUAAACCUUUCAAAGUUCUUCUCUUCAUAGUCACAAUCUCAAGCCUCCUCCUCCUUUGAGAUUUUGUGUUUUCUUCAAAAUCUACAGUGAGAUUUCCCAGUCUCCACUAUCUUUCCCUACUGGAAUUUUUCCCACCCUAGUGUUUGUCUGCCCGCUUCUAGUGCUGCUGGAGCAUAGCAAUGCCCAGAUUUGUGUUUGCAUGUGAAUUCAUCCAGAUCAGUGCCACGGGAGUCUGAAGAGGGGGGUUUCAUCAGAACCAUCCAAAGAAAUCCUCUGUGAACCAAUGGUGCAUUGUUUAUUUAUUUUUCAGCUCUGAAAAUGAAUACAAUGUCUAAAAUUCAUCAAGUCUUCUUCAGAAUAUUGAAAUAUUUCUUGAUGUCUGUUAGGAAUAAACACUCAAAAACGUAUAA